rnacentral:rRNA from 1 species
UACGUAGGGGGCAAGCGUUGUCCGGAUUUAUUGGGCGUAAAGAGCGUGUAGGCGGCCAUGCAGGUCCGUUGUGAAAACUCGAGGCUCAACCUCGAGACGUCGAUGGAAACCGCAUGGCUAGAGUCCGGAAGAGGAGAGUGGAAUUCCUGGUGUAGCGGUGAAAUGCGUAGAUAUCAGGAAGAACACCCGUGGCGAAGGCGGCUCUCUGGGACGGUACUGACGCUGAGACGCGAAAGCGUGGGGAGCGAACAGG